rnacentral:rRNA from 1 species
UACGAAGGGGGCUAGCGUUGUUCGGAAUCACUGGGCGUAAAGCGCACGUAGGCGGAUCUUUAAGUCAGGGGUGAAAUCCUGGAGCUCAACUCCAGAACUGCCUUUGAUACUGGGGAUCUCGAGUUCGGGAGAGGUGAGUGGAACUGCGAGUGUAGAGGUGAAAUUCGUAGAUAUUCGCAAGAACACCAGUGGCGAAGGCGGCUCACUGGCCCGAUACUGACGCUGAGGUGCGAAAGCGUGGGGAGCAAACAGG